rnacentral:lncRNA from 1 species
GCUGUAACUCUUUCUAGCCUAUAUAAUUUAUACAAGACUAUUACAAGCUUCUCACUUGGGAUCUUUCGACCGAAAGGAAAAGAAUGAAAAAUAAAUGUUUCUUCUAGUUCAUUCUUGCAUUCCUCACUUAUAAUUAAUGUAAAACUAAGUUGAAUUAUUGUUGUGCAGCCAGUUGGUUCUUCAACUCUUUCUUGUUCACCUGAAAGUGGCCAAAAAGAAAAAGUCAAUCAAAGUAAUGAUUUAGUAACCUUUACAUUCUCCCUUUAAAUAUGUUUCCCAUUUUAGUAAAAAAGGACAUGAAAUGAAGUUUACGUGAGAAAAGAAAUGAGAUAUGCUUGCAGUUUACCUUUCCCAUGGCAUUUCGAGGCAGAGAGUCCCACAAGAACAGACGGGUUGGCAGCUGAAAAGAAAUAAGCAUAGCAGUAUCAAAAUGAAUGCCUGAAUCCAUUUGAACAUUCAACGAAUUAAUGAAAAUAAACAUUACAUGCAUGGCAAAUUCGAACUGAAUUGGAUUCUCAACCACAAAGGCAUUACAUAUAACUACUUGAAGAAAGGUGCAAAGGCUAAAACAGGAGAUGGAUACGAGACAUGAGAGCUAGAUCAAAGAAGAGAAACGGAAACUUAUUUGGAUGCCUACUUGGUACUAUAAGCUGGAAUAAUGAAAGAAAGGGAAAAAAAAACAAGUAUUUCUGGCUGUUUUUGGCUUGCUGAGGUAGCGGAAGCAUCUAAUAAAAUCUGCAGCCCAGUAUGAAUCUCCUCUAAGGCUUUAGCUGGAAUGAUAAAUGAGGGGUGGGGUGUACUUCACAUCAAUAUGAUGCACUUUAAAACAAAUCUUAAAGAGCGAAAACAUCCAUCCAAUUUGUCAAAUUCACUUCUUUAGGGAAGGGCCAAUUGCAAUUUCUAUUACCAAUAUUUCUGGGGAAAAAGGAAGGACAAUUCAUUGAGUUUAAAGAUCAUAAGGGAGAUACAUAUCAUACGAUUUGACAAAAUAUUCUCAUGCAACCCAUAAAACAUUAAAUAAAGCAGGGAGAGCAUGCACCUCUUAUGAAUGACUGAUCGCAUAGCUGCCUCAACGAAUAAUGGUCUCCAGUUCCAGUAUCAUAAUUAUCCUCAAAAACAAGAUGUCGAAACCCUACUUUCAGUGCCUGCUUCAGUCUUCCAUGAAAGCAUGAAUUAAGAGAAAUCAGCAUUGAGAAAAGUGAGGCAUGUCAAAUCUAGAGUAUAUAAGGAAGUGCAAAGGUUUGUCAUUAUCAAAUAAGUUGGACGGUGAGUACCUUUUCAAUUCAUUCUGAUGGUCAUAAAAAAAUAUUAGGACUCGGCUGAGGUUGGUAAUCCCAUGUCUCUUCAUGACGGGCUCCCAAUCUAUAGAACCAAAUCCACAAAAUCUUUUCCAGCAAAAUAUGUACAGUUUUCAUCAACAUAAGCAGGCCCCUUCUUUAGAUAGUUGGCAGGAUGCCAGGGCGAAAGUGAAAUAAUUGAUUUAUCAGGCAUAGUUUGUCGCAAAACCCAGGUUGAAUGUCCUUAAAAGCACCACUCUCAAUCAUCAGAUCCAGCUUCAGCCAUCAAGCAAUGAACCAAGGCCCAAAGCUUUGGUCAAAACCCAUACCAUAAAUGUUGUUUUUUACAGGACGAGUUUCAUAUAUUGGCACAAACUCUUCCAAAACCUCGAUUAAAUCCUUGGUUGUCCAUUCAACCCUUUUUCCAUUUUUCGAUCUGCCUUUUAAAAAGGAUAAGAAUUAAAUUACAUCUAAGAUAAGCUACUAAAAGUGGCCGAUUCAAAAUCAAGCAAGACAACUGAGAUUCACCAUUUCAAAUUGAGUAACAAUCAAAAAGGAAGUACAAAGUAACCUAAAAUAUGCAUAUUCGUCUGAAAACCAAAUAUGACAGUAAAUCAAAGAAUGUGAAAGAACCUUGAAAAGAACAUAUACCGAGUCAUAACAGGAUUUAGUUUAGAAAACGAUAAACCCCGGUAAAUGAACAGAAGGCUACUCCAAAAUUAUGAUUUUAGGCUAUGCAAAAACAAACAAGCCCACCCAAUAACUAAUCUAUUUUCUAGAUUAAAUUUAAAAGGCCACAGCUGAAUUUACAAUGAAAUUCAUGAUUACUUUAAGAUCUCCUCUCUCUAGCAACACUCUCAUCCACUUACACAUUAUUGAUAUAAACAAUAAGACUCUCAAAGUUGAACAUUUCAAUUAAUAAAAAAGAAGCCUAUUCAGAAUCCCAUUUAAGUGCCAAUGCACUUGAUCUUCAAACUUUCAUCUUGAAAAGUCACAUUGCAGAUAUUACCAUUCGCAAAAGUUUUAAUAAUCACAAAAAUUUUAUAAAUUUGCACUAACUAGCUUUCAACAAGAUCCCAUAAAAAAAAAAAAAAUUGCAACUUUAGAAACUAUUAUCAUACACCAAAUACAUAUAAUUUCAUAAAUAUAUUCACAAUAAAUUAAAUUAAAAUGCAGAUCUGAUUUUAAAAAAGCGUUUUUAAUCAAAGACUUUCACCAGGGAACAUCGAGAUAUCCAGAAUCCGACUCCAAGGCGUCGGGUCGGUAAAGGCGGGGCCCGAAUCGAGAGAGCCGAUCGUAGGGGGAAAUACAAACGAGAUUAUGAGAAUAAUGAAAUGUCAACGAAACGGCGCCGAACAAGACCAAAACACAGAUGAUAAGACAGGGUGACGCGUGGCUGAAGCGGGAGAAGUACUUAAGAGGCUAAGAGGGAAAUGUGUUGUCGCUUCGACGUGGACUCGUCGUCGUCCGAAGAUGGACCUGGCGUCUGAGAGGCGCAGACCGCAUCGGCUUCGGCGGCAUGGCGACGUGAGGAGGCGGAACGAUCGAGCAUCGUGGCGGCAGGAGCAGAGGAGCGUGGAGGGUGAGGAGCAACGAAGUAGUGUUCAUUGUGAGCGUUGGAAUAAGCGCGCGUGAAGUUUUCAAAGUUACUGUUUUUUCUUUAAAAAAAAUUGGUGACAUUUUAUUUCAUUUAUUAUUUUUUUUGUAAUUGAUUAAUUGUGACUCUUAGUUGUAGGUGAUUAUAAAUAUAAUAAUAAAUGGGGUAUUUGAUGUUUUAAACCAUCAAAAUACUUAUUAAGCCACUUUAUUAAAUUGACGACAACCUAAAUUACUUUGUAGUAAGGCAAUCUAAUAAUCAAUUAAUAAAGAAAAAUUACAUUGUUUACGCCCAUCUUCAAGCCAUAUAUUUUGUAUGUAGAGUUCUUGUGUUUCUUUGAAUUUUUACCCAUUUAUUGAAUUUCUUUUCUUCACCUACACUUCUGUUAGUUAAUGGAAUGAAAUUUUUGAGGAAUUUGUUAAAUAUUUGAACUUGGCUAAAAGUUUGUCAUUGAUAAAACUCCCUCUUGAUUUCAACUAGUAAAUUUAUGCAAAACUUCUUUACAAUAUUGAGCAACGUAUUCUCUCUUCAUAGAAGCUUUCCUAAAAAGUCCAUGGAAGAACCGUAUCCAUUAAAAAAUAUAAUUUUAUCAUCUGUUUGUUUCUUAAGUUUUAAAGGUAUUGUUUCACACAUGAAAUAUUAGGGGGAAAAAACUACUUUGGAAAGAAAAUUAAAGGAUAGAUAGAAGCGACAAUUCGGUUCAAGAUGUAUUAUUCGAUUCUAUUCUAAUCAAAUUAAACAUGUUUAAAUUAGAAAAAAAUUAAUUUGUUUAAUAAUUGGCUAAAGUUGAUUUGAUUUGUAAAAUAAAUUAAUUGAAUCUAAGUUUGAGGUCGCUUAUUCAUUUAUCAUUUGAGAUUCAUUUAAUAAAUAGUUAAAAAAACGAAUCGAGUAUGAAUUUAUUCAUUUGAUGUUCGUUUAUUAUCCAUUUGAUUAAAUUAUUUAUUUACCAUUAAUUUUUUUUGCAUAAAUUUAAAAAUUAAGAUGAUAGUUUCGUAAUUAUAAGUUAUAAUAAUAAGACAAAAUAAAUUUUGUUAAUAAAUGUAUUACACAAAUUGUAAAUGAAUUCAAAUUCGAUUCAAUUCAUUGAAUAAUUCGUAUCGAUUCAUUAAAUUUUAUAGAGUAAAUCAAUUAAACAAAUGUUCAUUUAAUAAAUGGAAUUCAAACCCAUUGAACUUGGACUUUAUUCGUUUACUAUAUGAUUUGUUUAUUUGUUUUGCAACCCCUAGAUUUGAGUAUAAAGUUGUAAUGGAUAAAGCGCCAAAAGGAGAGAUGGAGGAAAGGAUGAAAAAUUAGUUAAAUUAAAAAAAAAAAGAGUAAAUUACAAUAAUUUAGUUUAAUUAGAGUAGUUUAGGUAUUAAUGUGGGUUUAUAAAUUAUAAUUUUAAUAUUUUUUUUUGAGAAUAUAAUUUUAAUAAUUUAUUUAUUGAAUAAAUGGGUUCAAAUAAUCUUACCCUAUAGUAAUAUAUACAUUUCAUUUUUAACCAAGAAACCAAACUAAAUGAUAGAAAGAAUAAUGAACUACGAAAUUCACCGUAGUAAAAUUGUCAGUUUUAUUUAUUUUUUCAGCUUGAUGUUCAUUUGAUUACUUAGAUUACUGUGAGAUCUCUCAUCAUAAAGUUAUAUAUAUAUAUAUAUAUAUAUAUACAUAUAGACGCGCGCGCGGGGGAUAUACUGAAUUUGCUGCAGCAGAGGCUGCAUUGGAAGGGGUUAAACCAUAGCCUUGGAGGUCUCCUCUUGUUGAACAAUCGCUAUUGUUUCAACUGCGGCUGAAACUGCCAUUCGCCAUCUAGUAUGGAAAAUUUCAGAUUGUGAAAAUCACACCAAAACCACAAAUUGACAGCAUUUUUCAUUCUUAAUUAUUUAAUCAAGCUAAACAACUUAUAAAAACAUCAUUUUCCUUCUUUUUUUUCCCCCCUUUUUUCCUGAUAGGUGGAGAGGUUUAACUAAUUUUAAUUGGCAUUUAAUUGUGGGUUAUCUGUCUGAGUUGUGGCAUCUUUUUGGAGAAAACCUUGGCUGGCAUCAGAUUUGCCCUAUUGCCACGUGCAACUGGAAAAAGACAACUAAGGUCCAUCGCACGGCAAAGAUAAAUAAUCUUUUUACAUACUUGAUUCCGUUUUUUAUUCAUUUUAUAACCUCUGUAUUCUCUUUGAAGUGUGAAGCAUGCGGAAGACGGGGUGCUGUGAAGUUCUCUGGAUGGACCCACACUGAUAUUGUGAACAGUCAGCCGGAAAAUGGAGUUGAGCAUGGCGAUGAAGACCUUCUUGGGGGAAGAAACCAAGUAACUUUUGUUCAUCCAAUGGUCGCUGAAUCGGUAAGAUUUUGUUACUAAAACGUAAGUAGUAUUUGUGUUGGUGGUAAAAAUUAGUUAACCAUUUUUUUUUGUGUUGUAGAAAAACCAUGGACAAAGUCAGCCAUUUGCCAUGACGGAAACGGCAGUACCAGAAGAGGAGUUGGGAAGGGUUACUUUCAAGGAUCUACCCGCCAAAGAGUUUGUGAUAGAAGGUGCUAACGUGGAAUAUGAAUUAGAUCGUUGAGUUGAGCUCUUCGGAUGUCCUGUUAACUCUAUUUUCAAUAUCAUAUUAUCAGAUAAUUGCAAUCAUUAGUAUGCAUGGUUUCAUUUUUUUUGUCGAGUUGAGCUCUUCGAAUGUUCUGUUAACUCGCUUUUCAAUAUUAUAUUAGCAGAUAAUUACAAUGAUUAGUAUGGUUUUUGUUUUUAAGUGUUACAUUUUAUAUGCACGUUCACGGUACAUAUUACAAUUAUUAUUAUUUUUUUAAAAAAAAUCCCUUACGUAUGUUAUAACUAGUCUAUGUUCUGCUCUAUAUCAAAAUUUGGAUAUUAUUAUUAUCAUUUUAAUCUCACUUAUGUAAUAACUUCAAAUUUUCUAAAACCCAAUUUGUACCUAAAACUUCUAAUUUGGAGUUAUUAUAAUUAAUAUUAUUUUUUUAAAAAUAGCUGCUAGAUUAUACUCAGGGCCGGCUCAACUAUAUUAUUUGGGGCCUUAGGCAGAUGAUUUUAAUUGGUUCUUGUUAAAAUUUAGGAAAAAAAAAAUAUAGUAGUUAUAUAUUAUUUAUUGAAAAUCAAUUCUUUAAACACUCUAAAAUGUAAAAUUAUUAAAUAAAAUUCUAUUCUACUAUUGCUGAUCCAUGAAAUUUUAAUUCAAUUAUAACAUUUUCACUUAUUUUUUUAAACUCAAAUUACAUUUUUUUUACUACUCAUUUUCUAAAUUAAACUAAUUUUUCUAUUCUUCUAUUUUUUUUAAUUUUUUCAAUAUAGUUUUUUUUUUUCAAAAUAGAUAAAAUAAGCACACAAAAAAAAGUAGAUGAAUAAAAAAAUAUAUUAAAAAGAAACAAGAACAAAUAAAUAAUACAACUAAUUAAUGUCAUAAUAAAAAGAUAAAAUCUGGAAUUUGAGAUGAAAUUAUAAAUUAACUUUAUCUUUAUAUUAAUUGUUUGAAGAUUUGAGUAAUAACCAAUAGCCAUAGAGAAUAGAGAAAACUAUUAGAUUUUUUUUUUUCCUUCUUGAGUGGAAAGUAGAGGAAGCAUUAUUUUUUUCCCUCUCUCUUUCUUUCUCUCAAACACCAAGAACAUAUCGUGUCUUGAUUGUUGGAGGAAAAAUUUAAUGGAUAAGUAAUAAAGUGUGGGGCUUUUAUAAAAGUUUAAAAUGAAUAUAAAACUUUUUAAUUAUAACAUAUUAAUUCUAAAAAUGAAAUAGAAAAUUUAUAGGAUUGAAACUAUUUAUUUAUCGAUUUUGUAGGAAUUAAAACUACUAAGUACUACAUUAAAUAAACUUUAUAGGAAUUUGAUAGUUUACUUAGGAAAAGAUAAUUACAAAAUAAUAAUAAAUUAAAUGAAUAAUAAUAAUUUUAAAAUUCAUUUUCUCUUUUUAUAUACAAAAUAAUUAUCUCAUGAGGACUUUCAUGUAAAGUAGGGCCCUAAGCGACUGCCUAAGUUGCCUAGAGGUGAUUAUACUAAGCCAUAAACAUAAAGCAUUUGCAAGGUAAAAUAAGUUACAAUCAUGGCACAAGUACACCAAAAUUUGUAAGAGCAUGCAGCCGGCCUCACGGCUAACGCACAAACACCGCAAGAACAUGGAAAUAUGAACAAGGAAAUUGACAGCAUAUAAGAGGAAAACGCAAUCAGCAAGAAAAGGUGAAGUAGUAUACGUUAAAAUAACAGCUCAAAGGAUGUGAUUCAGUUAAUUUAAUAAAAACAACAGUUCAUGAUAAUCUCUAAUCUGACCAGCUAUGGAAAUAUAUACGGAUGUACUACCACAUCUCAAUUUCUUGUCCUAAGGAAAGCUAGAACAGGCGCCAUUCUCAUAAAUUUAGGAGACUUGUUCAGAAAUUUGCAGAUAAACCAUCUGCGUAUACCCAUUAAAUACAGAGGUCUCAAGCCUAGCCAAACGCAGCCGUUGGAACAAGCCAUAGCGGCCAUCUUCAAGAAUUGGACUGCAUACACGAGCAGGAUCAUAACGAGUUUGAUGAGUGAGGGAAGGGCCAGACACCGGAGGGAGCUCCCUAUAAACAUCCAAAAUUGAUUCAACAAAUUGGCUGUUCCGAAAAUGCUCGGCAUAGGAGAUUGGCUUAUUACUGUGGUUAAAGUUUCCUCGCAUCUCCUCUUUGACACCCCACCCAGUUUCACCCACCCCACAUCGUUCUUCUAUAUCCACUGCCUUCUCCCAGAAUUUCUUCCUUUUCGCUCUAAUCCGUGCUUCGUCACUAUCUCUCAAGCAACUAUGGCCACCACUUGGAUAAAAAUGUAUAAGGCUAAACAAGCUAUCACAUUACUUGUGAUCUUCAUUUUUAUGAAAAGGAUACGAAAAUAAAUGGUAUUUAUUAAUUUCAGUAAGAAGGAAAAUGGAUGAUCUCCUUGUGUAAUAUAAAUUAAAUAAGGUGUUAGAUUAAUAACUCUGCAUGUGAUCAAUUGACCCUUAUAUUAUGGUUUUUUUUAUUUUAUUUUAUACAGGUACAAAUAUUUUUCACAUUAUAACCGUUUACAAGAUUAAUGACGUACAUUGAGCAAAGAGAUUUUAGAAGGACCAUAAAAAAAUGAUAAUUUGGACCCAACAAUAAAUUUUUAUUUAUUUUUAAAUAUAAAAGGAAUGAGUAAAGUUAAAAUUAAUUUUUUAACACCUUUCCCUCACAAGAUUCAAAAGCAAGAGAUCAACCAGAUCCCUAGGAAUGAUCCAAUCACCCCGGCGAUCUUGAUUGUGCCAACCUUUCAACAAUCUUGCAGCCUUUUUGCCAGAUUAGCAACAGAAUCAACAAUACAUAUGCUGUCUGUUAUUGCAACAAUGGAACAAAUCUUUCACUCUCUCUCCCAAGAAAGUACAUGAUAAAUAAAAGACAGCUUCCAAUUAUAAGCUCUUGGAAUUACUAAUUAGCAAAAAUAAUUCAUAAAAUCUGUGUGAAGAUAUUGAUUCUACAGGCAUAUUUGAAGUAUUUUUCGUAACUCGUAAGUAAAAUAUAGACGGUUCCUUUUGACAUAAAUCAGCUGUAACUCUUUCUAGCCUAUAUAAUUUAUACAAGACUAUUACAAGCUUCUCACUUGGGAUCUUUCGACCGAAAGGAAAAGAAUGAAAAAUAAAUGUUUCUUCUAGUUCAUUCUUGCAUUCCUCACUUAUAAUUAAUGUACAACUAGGUUGAAUUAUUGUUGUGCAGCCAGUUGGUUCUUCAACUCUUUCUUGUUCACCU